CGAUUAUGGCGCAAAGACAAGGAGUGAGCGGGGCGGCUGGCCUAGUGAGCCGCAGUGGUGGAGGCCCAGGUGGAAUCAGAGAGAAAGCCUGGAAUCAGAGCCGGUUUCUUAGGACGUGGCCUACAGAACAGGAUGCGUGAGCUGGUCAGGAAGUCAAAGGGGUGUCCGCGCCUGCUCCAAGGUGGAGAGAGCCUGCGUCGUCCAUCGUACCUGCCCUGCCACCUCCAGAGGGCGGUUGUGGAGACCCGGCGAGAUACAUCACACAGAAUUGCUUUGAAGACUAAAACGCUGUACAUAUUCUUAUUUCCUUUAAACAUCACAAAUAGCACCAGAGGGCUUCAAAGAGAAAGGACGUUAACCUCUGGAUUACUGUAUUUCAUCAAAUUUAAUAUUCUGUCAGUUAUAAGAUGCACCAUAUUUAAACGUACCACUAAGGAAAAAAGUUGCCAAGUAAACUGACAUGUCAUCGGUUGUAAGUUGUAUUCUGAUUUCAGAAAUAUAUAUAUAUAUAUUUUAAGUACAAGACCAUGAGAAUAAAUGAAGUACAAUAGGAA